ACAUGUGGCCAUACCAGCGUGACAAAGCCUGAUCUCAUCAGAUCUCAGAAACUAAACAAGGCUGGGCCUGGUUAGUACUUGGAUGUGAGACCACUGGGAAUACCAGGUCAUUGUGUCCU
rnacentral:rRNA from 1 species